CUCUCGCCGCCACACAGAGCGGAGCAGCGGUCUCUCCUUCCCCUUCUCUUGCGCUUGUGAUUCCUUCCCCUUCUCCCCUACGCUCGCAACCCCUAGACCAGAGCAGUAGCCGCUCGCUCCCUCUCCACUCCACUCCGGGCCCUGCUUUGCUAUGUAGGACAAGCGGGACCUCUCCGACGUGGGUGGCGCUAUGCGGGUCCUCUUCUAGCACGGGUGGCUAGGCACCUAGGCGACGGGUGGUCAUGCCAGGCCCCUCACAUCCUGUGGGCUUGCUUAUUAUCCGAUGGUUGGCAUAUUGCAUCCUAUGGGUUCGAUCCGAUGGGAAUCUGGUGGAGGGUGGCAAGAUCUAGAGGAUGGUGGCUAAAUCCAGUGGAAGGCAGUGGCAGCGGGACAGAUGGAGCUGAUAAGUAAAUCACUGAGGCUUCUUCGUCCAGGAUGACCAACAACAACAACCAAUGCUCGAACCCAGGAAUCAUCGAUGGGGGCAUGGGGCUUUGUUAACAGGGAUUCUAAUGGCGAUGUUGUGUCCUCAAGCAAAGGCAAAGUGAAUCAUCUGCUGGGAGCUUUCCAAGCUAAAAUUAUUGCCUGUUUACAUGGGAUUUAGGAGGCUGCAAGAUUAGGAAUAAGUAAUUUGAUCUUAGAAACUGAUGCCCAACACAGGUCAAACAUGCUUUCCAUUCAAAUGACUAUGGUGCUACUUCGUCAGGUGGAUUGAUUUUAGAGAUGAAGUUCAUGGCACAAGCAAAUUUUCAUUGAUUCAAAUGUGAUUUUGUCCCUAGAGAAUGUAAUAGAGUAGCUCAUGUAAUAGCUGCUAGUGGGUAUGAAUGUGAGCAAAGGUUUGAGCAAA